GACGAACGCUGGCGGCGUGCUUAACACAUGCAAGUCGAACGGAAAGGCCCUGCUUUUGUGGGGUGCUCGAGUGGCGAACGGGUGAGUAACACGCGAGUAACCUGCCCUUGACUUUGGGAUAACUUCAGGAAACUGGGGCUAAUACCGGAUAGGAGCUCCUGCUGCAUGGUGGGGGUUGGAAAGUUUCGGCGGUUGUGGAUGGUCUCGCGGCUUAUCAGCUUGUUGGGGGGGUAGUGGCUUACCAAGGCUUUGAAGGGUAGCCGGCCUGGGAGGGUGGCCGGCCACAUUGGGACUGAGAUACGGCCCAGACGCCUACGGGAGGCAGCAGUGGGGAAUAUUGCACAAUGGGCGGAAGCCUGAUGCAGCAACGCCGCGUGCGGGAUGACGGCCUUCGGGUUGUAAACCGCUUUCGCCUGUGACGAAGCGUGAGUGACGGUAAUGGGUAAAGAAGCACCGGCUAACUACGUG
rnacentral:rRNA from 1 species